rnacentral:rRNA from 1 species
CAGUCGCCGCGGUAAUACGAAGGGUGCAAGCGUUACUCGGAAUUACUGGGCGUAAAGCGUGCGUAGGUGGUGGUUUAAGUCCGUUGUGAAAGCCCUGGGCUCAACCUGGGAAUUGCAGUGGAUACUGGGUCACUAGAGUGUGGUGGAGGAUAGUGGAAUUUCCGGUGUAGCAGUGAAAUGCGUAGAGAUCGGAAGGAACAUCUGUGGCGAAGGCGACUAUCUGGGCCAACACUGACACUGAGGCACGAAAGCGUGGGGAGCAAACAGGAUUAGAUACCCCCGUAGUCCCUGUCUCUUAUAC